rnacentral:SRP_RNA from 1 species
UUGCAGACUAGGCCGGGGCAGUAGUCGUGCCUUGUUACCACAAAUCGGCUUUAUGGUGGGGCUGAGGCAGCAGAGAGGGUUGAGCUCUUGGUAUUGGUCCUAAACCGUACGACGAAGCUUUGUCCUAAUUGGCUGGUUGUUUUGAAAAUCAGGUCAGGCCUUGAUCGGAGCAGCCUUAAUCAUGGCAAUUGGCGCUUUUAGGGUAACGAAGUGGAGGAAAGUUUAGGGUUCCCCAGUAUUGGUGUUUGAUUCCAUCUGCUGGUGUCUGCUU